ACUCUUUGGGUCAGAGUUCUGUGUUAUAAAAAAGGUGAAAUCUUAAUUCAAUAGUUUUUAAGCAAAGUCAUCACAAGGGAACACACUGAUGCCCUGUGAUGUUUUGGGACUCUCCAGAAUGUUUUCACCAGCAAAAAGUCCCUCAGCAGAUGCAGCCUCUCAACCUUGAACUUUGUAGUCUCCAAAAUUGACCAUUUGUACUGCAACCCAGCAAGCAGGAAUUAGCAAAACAAGAUGGUGUUGCUGACUUGAGGAAGUUGUAGCAGCUGGGAUCUCCAGAGAAGAGGUGACUGUAGAGUCUACACAGAAAUGGGGAGACAUCAUUCUGGCUGCAUUAUGAAUGGAUAGUUUGGAGGAGGAAUGUGGAUAACUAAACAAGAAUGAGAGUAGAAAGAAACUACUCUUAAGACUAUUGCAAUAUCCACGUGCAAUGUGCUUUUUUUGUGACUGCAGACUAUGAUAUUUAUUCAUAAUGGGGGCAAAACAAGAUUUCACUAUAUUUUCUCAGCAACAAGAAAAUACUCUCUCUGAAGUCAAGCACUUCUGGGAAGACCAAAAGUAAUGCAAACUAGAGUUUCAAAGCAAAACCCCUACAUCCUGAAUGCCCAGCCCAGUCAAUGAAGAUUUUUCUGUCUCAUCUGUCAGCUAACUUGGUCCUCUUCCCCUGGGAACAAAACCAAGAAGGGUUAAGAGAUAAUCUGGAAACAAUCUCCCCAGCAUUUGCCUAAGAGGGCAGCUGUAUACCCAGACCUUCUUUCCUCUGUGACAAUAUACUAGAAAGAGAGAGUUUCAUACUCUUUAAAUCUGAAUCGUUGACACUCACUUUAACAAGAAUACAGCCUGAUUCCUCUCUGCCCCUCUAGCUAUUUCUAGAAAGUUGGUCAUAAAAUGAAUUGGUAAAUAGAGAAUUCAGACACUGAUUCUGCUUAAGCAAUCCUAGAAAUGACUUACAAGCUUUGGGAACAUCAAAGAUAGCACUCAUGAGACAGGCAAGCUAAGGAGUGUUCAGGAGUAAAUGCACCUCUCAUCCCACAAGUCCACUGUUCUGAUGAAAGAUUAAGAGGCAGUUGGCCUGGGAAGGUGAAAAGGCAGGAAAAGAGUGGGAAGUCAGUUCCUAGGAUGAUAAUCACAUCCACAGACAUUGUCUUCUUUCAUACAUGCACAACUUUUCUUUGUUAUCUUUACACACAUCUAUAUUCAGUUCUGUAUGAUCUACUAGCAGUUUACAGCUGCUUUAAAUGAGUACAUUUCAGGUUGGGCAUGGUGACUCACGGCUGUAAUCCCAAUACUUUGGGAGAUUGAGGUGGGCGGAUCACUUGAGGUCAGGAGUUUGAGACCAACCUGACCUCUACUAAACCCCAUCUCUACUAAAAAUGCAAAAAUUAGCUGGUCAAGGUGGUUCACAGCUGUAAUCCCAGCUACUCAGGAGGCUGAGGCAAGAGAAUGGCUUGAACCCGGGAGGCAGAGGUUGCCGUGAGCCAAGAUGGUGCCACUGUACUCGUCUAGGUGACAGAGCAAGAUUCUGUGUCAAAUAAAUAAAUAAAUAAAUAAAUGCAUACAUUUUUUCAGAAUUUCUCUCCCAUAUUGAUGAGCCUUCCAUGGGCAUCUAAUUUAAAUAAUUAUUUUCUGAAAAGCAACAGCCACUCUAUUAUAUUCCUGGUGACAGUGCAAAAUGGUUUAGCUUCUAAAAAGAUGAAUGUGAAAAUAACUAUUAGAACCAUAUAUGCAAUCACCAUUUGAUCCAGCAAUCCCAUUUCUGGGAAUUCAUCCUGAAGACGUAUCUCUCUAUAUAUGGGCAAAAUGGAAGCUAUUGAAUGUUAUAUUGUGAGGUAAUAGUAAAAUAAGAAAUAACCCCAAUGUCUAUUUAUGUGAAAGGAGUAGAAUAAACUGUGGUACAUCCACACAAUGAAUUUUUAUGAAGUCAUAAAAAAGAAUGAGGAGCAUAUCUGUGAACUGUCAUGAAGUAACUUCCAGAAUGUGUUUU